rnacentral:rRNA from 1 species
UACGAAGGGGGCUAGCGUUGCUCGGAAUCACUGGGCGUAAAGCGCACGUGGGCGGAUUGUUAAGUCAGGGGUGAAAUCCUGGAGCUCAACUCCAGAACUGCCUUUGAUACUGGCGAUCUCGAGUCCGGGAGAGGUGAGUGGAACUGCGAGUGUAGAGGUGAAAUUCGUAGAUAUUCGCAAGAACACCAGUGGCGAAGGCGGCUCACUGGCCCGGUACUGACGCUGAGGUGCGAAAGCGUGGGGAGCAAACAGG